AGAACGAACGCUGGCGGCAUGCCUAACACAUGCAAGUCGAACGAGACCUUCGGGUCUAGUGGCGCACGGGUGCGUAACGCGUGGGAAUCUGCCCUUGGGUUCGGAAUAACAGCGAGAAAUUGCUGCUAAUACCGGAUGAUGACGUAAGUCCAAAGAUUUAUCGCCCAAGGAUGAGCCCGCGUAGGAUUAGCUUGUUGGUGAGGUAAGAGCUCACCAAGGCGACGAUCCUUAGCUGGUCUGAGAGGAUGAUCAGCCACACUGGGACUGAGACACGGCCCAGACUCCUACGGGAGGCAGCAGUGGGGAAUAUGGACAAUGGGCGAAAGCCUGAUCCAGCAAUGCCGCGUGAGUGAUGAAGGCCUUAGGGUUGUAAAGCUCUUUUACCCGGAUGAUAAUGACAGUACCGGAGAAUAAGCUCCGGCUAACUCCGUGCCAGCAGCCGC
rnacentral:rRNA from 1 species